CACUACGGCCAUGCUACCCUCCUAAACAAGCCCGAUCUCAUUUGAUCUCGGAAGCUAAGCAAGGUUGGGCCUGAUUAAUACUUGGAUGGGAGAUCACCAAGGAAAACCAGGUGCUAUAGGUG
rnacentral:rRNA from 1 species